rnacentral:tRNA from 1 species
CGCACCGUCGUAUAAACGGUCAGUACACCGGCCUUUCAAGCCGGAAAUACGGGUUCGAUUCCCGUCGGUGUGA